rnacentral:rRNA from 1 species
UACGUAGGGUGCAAGCGUUGUCCGGAAUUAUUGGGCGUAAAGAGCUCGUAGGCGGUGUGUCGCGUCUGCUGUGAAAACUCAGGGCUCAACUCUGAGCUUGCAGUGGGUACGGGCACACUAGAGUGCUGUAGGGGAGACUGGAAUUCCUGGUGUAGCGGUGAAAUGCGCAGAUAUCAGGAGGAACACCGGUGGCGAAGCCGGGUCUCUGGGCAGUUACAGACGCUGAGGAGCGAAAGCAUGGGGAGCAAACAGG